GGCACGCAGGCGGUGACUUAAGUGAGAUGUGAAAGCCCCGGGCUUAACCUGGGAAUUGCAUUUCAUACUGGGUCGCUAGAGUACUUUAGGGAGGGGUAGAAUUCCACGUGUAGCGGUGAAAUGCGUAGAGAUGUGGAGGAAUACCGAAGGCGAAGGCAGCCCCUUGGGAAUGUACUGACGCUCAUGUGCGAAAGCGUGGGGAGCAAACAGGAUUAGAUACCCUGGUAGUCCACGCUGUAAACGAUGUCGAUUUGGGGGUUGGGCUUUAAGCUUGGCGCCCGUAGCUAACGUGAUAAAUCGACCGCCUAGGGAGUACGGCCGCAAGGUUAAAACUCAAAUGAAUUGACGGGGGCCCGCACAAGCGGUGGAGCAUGUGGUUUAAUUCGAUGCAACGCGAAGAACCUUACCUACUCUUGACAUCCAGAGAACUUUCCAGAGACGGAUUGGUGCCUUCGGGAACUCUGAGACAGGUGCUGCAUGGCUGUCGUCAGCUCGUGUCGUGAG
rnacentral:rRNA from 1 species